rnacentral:rRNA from 1 species
GCGGACGGGUGAGUAACACGUGGAUAACCUACCUAUAAGACUGGGAUAACUUCGGGAAACCGGAGCUAAUACCGGAUAAUAUAUUGAACCGCAUGGUUCAAUAGUGAAAGACGGUUUUGCUGUCACUUAUAGAUGGAUCCGCGCCGCAUUAGCUAGUUGGUAGGGUAACGGCUUACCAAGGCACGAUGCGUAGCCGACCUGAGAGGGUGAUCGGCCACACUGGAACUGAGACACGGUCCAG